GUUUUGGACUCCACACUUACAUGCAGGAUCUGAGAAAUCUUCAGCAAUUCCACCCAACUACAUCUAUCUUUCAAAACCCUCGGAAAAGAGCUAUCAGAAAUCUCCAUUCUUGGUUAAUUCGAGCUCGACUUCAGCAGCCGAUCGCUGUCAGUCUUCAUCAGAACCGUACAUCGAUACAGGAGAUUUUUUUCUGAGUAGCUUGAGGAAAGGAGACUUAUAUCUAGAGGCAACUGCAAAUUUCUAGUGCUUAUCAUCCAAUGUUCAUCAUCAGCUUUCUCACUUUCAAUUUCCCGUCUCCAUUGAUAAAUUUGUGAACUCUUGUUCCUCCUCUUAGAUGGGCAGAAGUGUUAAACUUCUUUUUUAUAAUAUAUUCGUAGGCAAUAAACUUUUGGAAUUGAUAGUUUCUGAUACCUGGGGAUGUACUUGGUUUUGCUAUUAGAUACAUUUCAUUGAUAUUAGUAGAUUUACAUGGUAUUUUUGCAUGGUAUGCACUUGUGUUUUUUCAAAGACUAAAAUUGAAUAUUGAGAAUAUCUUCGAGUGUGUAUAAUCAAAAGUAUUCAAGCCACUGGUGGUGGUGAAUACAAGAAAUUCAAACCCUUUCUUGAAAUAUGUGGUAAUACUCAUGGUUUCUCUUGUA